UAAGCCACUAGGGUUUUUCUCCGUUCAAAAUCUGCAACAUUUACAGUGAUAGCUCUAAAUAGUUUUUGUUUUUGUUUUUUUUUUGUGUGGCUCAGAAUCCGAACAUGGAGUUCUGGAUGCUGAGCUCAGUAUCGAUUUUGCUUCGUUUGUUUUAAAGCGCGGCCCUUAAGAUCGCCUUCCUUAGCAACCAUGGAAGCGUUUUGAGUCAUAGCUGCGCAAUAGCAAAACACCAUUUAGGAGGGUUUCUUUAGGGUUUUCCUUCUGAACCGUCCUCUUCUCCCACCUGGGUUUUUCUUCCUGAGGCAUUGCUCUGUUUCCAUUUGGGUCCUGGAGCUCAUUUUCUCAUUUUCUGAAACCAAAUGGCAAAUAGCUUCAAUGCUAGUUGCUCAUGGGUGUUUCAGUCAAUGGGGAGCCUUCAGGCCCAUUGGAAACUAUUCCUUGUAAAUGUCUCAGUCUUGGGUGGGUAACAUUCUUAUCCCAUUUUUUGUGUAUAGUUUUUUAAAUAAAUUGAUUAAAGUCGGAAAGCUUGGCAAGAAUGAUGAUUCAAUUAGAUGUGUGAAAAAGGGAAAUCCUUUUUUAUGAACUCAACUAUUUGAGGCAUUUGGAUUUGUCUGACUUGCCUGCCAUCAUUUUCAAUCAUGUUAGCUUCUUUCUAAGUUGUAUCAAUGUGUAGAUGCACACCUACAUUUCAACUGAAAAUUAUCAUAACCUCUCCUGUUUCAUUGAGUUCUUUUACUCCAAUGGAUUUUGUAUCCCAAUUUCAAAACUUAUGAUUUAGUUCCUUUCUGCCUUUUGGAUAAUUCAGCUUUCCAUGUCUUCAGAACACCCUUUUUGUGUGUUUAAUGGUUGUUGCCUAUGUUGAAAUUGUCUUGUACAACUUGUUCUUGGAAAUAUUGGUUGUUUAGGCUCUCUGUGGUUGGUUAAAGAAAUUCCAUCUCAAAUAUUUUGUGAAUCUCAUAUGAUGUCCCUGUCUAUUUUUGAAUGUUACGUUAAACUUUCAUUUAAUAUUGUGUUAUUGGAGGAGCAUUUUGGAGUCAAGAAGUGAUCUUUACUGGAAAUUGUCUCUUUGUAUGCUCGAAGGGGUUAAGAUCAAGGCAUGUCUCUGUUGUUAUUUGAUGCAUGUGUUAUUAAAAUGUUGUCUAUUGUGAUUUAUGUUUCCUUCAUUUUUUUAAAGCAAGAUUCGUUUUCACUGUAAUUUUGUUUUGAUUUUUGUGAUAUGCGAUGACUUGUAUGAUUGCUAAAAACAAGUUUAGUCCAUAAUUGUUUUUAUUUUGGAGCUAAAGAGACGGAUUUUUUUAACUUUUUUUUUAAUAAGUGGGUGGAAAUGGACAUGGCAAGAGUGAUGAUUCAAUUAGAUGUGUGAAAAAGGGAAAUCUUUUUUUAUGAACUCAAUUAUUUGAGGCAUUUGGAUUUGUCUGACUUGCCUGCCAUAGUUAUCCAUAUUCAUCCUUUCUGAAUAUAGCCCCUUGGGAUGUAUGUUUGCGUAUGUACAAUACUGGACCACGAAUUGGCAUAAAUUUUCUUGCUUUAUUGGUUCUUUUUAGGUCAAAUUUUGAAGUGGGAUUUGCUCGCAGAAUUUCAAAAUGGAUUGGUUGAUUUCCUUUCUGCUUUAUGUAUAAUGGUGCACGAUUUGAGAAUGCCCUUUUUCGUGUUUCGUGAUUCUUACCCAUUUUGAAAUUUCCUUGAUUGAUACCUUACUUGGAAUGUAUGUAACCCUCUCAUCUGGUAACUGCUUGCUUUUCAUCAACAUGGUUGGUGAGGUGGUCAUCUUUUUGUGCAGAAAUGAUGCGUUGCAGAUCAGAGUCAAGUACAGUUGUUAAGUUUUGGUGGUGCCACAAUUGCUCUAAAGAGGCAAAACAAAUACUCCUUUGGCACAUGAGGGAGCUUCUACUUGGAUUUGAAGCUUCUCAAUCAGCAUGAGAGGAGACUCAUUGUUGUAAAGCUUGUUGCUAAUGUCAGUCACACCCAGCCAAACCUUCGUAACAAUGCGAAUUUUUUUGGUUUUCACAGAGCUAUGCUCCAGCUACUCUAAUGUACAGGAAGGACAAUUGAAUUCUAAUGUACGGGGAGCGAAAUCUAGGAAAAUUGCAAAGGAUGCCUUGACUAACCGGCAUAACUCCUGUAUACUUAUAACUAUGUCUUUGAGAUGGAACAAUGUAAACUUAUGUUGAUGAAACAAUGUAAACUUAUGUUGACUCUUGUCUGGUAGAUGUAAACUCCCGUCGACUUGGGCAUUUUGUUGUGUAGUUUUCUCAUGUGGGUUUUAGAUUCAGU
rnacentral:lncRNA from 1 species